rnacentral:rRNA from 1 species
GACGAACGCUGGCGGCGUGCUUAACACAUGCAAGUCGAACGGAAAGGCCCUGCUUUUGUGGGGUGCUCGAGUGGCGAACGGGUGAGUAACACGUGAGUAACCUGCCCUUUACUUUGGGAUAACUUCAGGAAACUGGGGCUAAUACCGGAUAGGAGCUCCUGCUGCAUGGUGGGGGUUGGAAAGUUUCGGCGGUUGGGGAUGGACUCGCGGCUUAUCAGCUUGUUGGUGGGGUAGUGGCUUACCAAGGCUUUGACGGGUAGCCGGCCUGAGAGGGUGACCGGCCACAUUGGGACUGAGAUACGGACCAGACUCCUACGGGAGGCAGCAGUGGGGAAUAUUGCACAAUGGGCGGAAGCCUGAUGCAGCAACGCCGCGUGCGGGAUGAAGGCCUUCGGGUUGUAAACCGCUUAAGCCUGUGACGAAGCGUGAGUGACGGUAAUGGGUAAAGAAGCACCGGCUAACUACGUG